rnacentral:rRNA from 1 species
UACAGAGGUGGCAAGCGUUGUUCGGAAUUACUGGGCGUAAAGGGCGCGUAGGCGGCCUUCUAAGUCGGACGUGAAAUCCCCAGGCUUAACUUGGGAACUGCGUCUGAUACUGGGAGGCUUGAGUGCGGGAGAGGGAUGUGGAAUUCCAGGUGUAGCGGUGAAAUGCGUAGAUAUCUGGAGGAACACCCGUGGCGAAGGCGGCUCUCUGGUCGACAUCUGACGCUGAGACGCGAAAGCGUGGGGAGCGAACGGG